GUAGGUGGCAAGCGUUGUCCGGAACUUAUUGGGCGUAAAGCGCGCGCAGGCGGUUCUUUAAGUCUGAUGUGAAACGCCCACGGCUCAACCGUGGAGGGUCAUUGGAAACUGGAGAACUUGAGUACAGAAGAGGAAAGCGGAAUUCCACGUGUAGCGGUGAAAUGCGUAGAGAUGUGGAGGAACACCAGUGGCGAAGGCGGCUUUCUGGUCUGUAACUGACGCUGAGGCGCGAAAGCGUGGGGAGCAAACAGGGAUUAGAUACCCUGGUAGUCCACGCCGUAAACGAUGAGUGCUAAGUGUUAGGGGGGUUUCCGCCCCCUUAGUGCUGCAGCUAACGCAUUAAGCACUCCGCCUGGGGAGUACGGCCGCAAGGCUG
rnacentral:rRNA from 1 species